GGGGGGGGGGGGGGGGGGGCGGGGGGCGGGCGGGGCGGGCGGGGAGGCCGGGCGGGGGUGGGGGGCUCGAGUGGCGAACGGGUGAGUAACACGUGAGUAACCUGUACUUGACGGUGGGAUAACUUCAGGAAACUGGGGCUAAUACCGGAUAGGCGCUCCUGCUUCAUGGUGGGGGUUGGUAAGUUUAGGCGGUUGGUGAUGGACUCGCGUCUUAUCAGCGUGUUGGUGGGGUAGUGGCUUACCCAGGCUUUCACGGGUAGCCGGACUGAGAGGGUGACCGGCCUCAUUGGGACUGAGAUACGGCCCAGACUCCUACGGGAGGCAGCAGUGGGGAAUAUUGCACAAUGGGCGGAAGCCUAAUGCAGAAACGCCGCGUGCGGGAUGACGGCCUUCGGGUUGUAAACCGCUUGCGCCUGUGACGAAGCGUGAGUGACGGUAAUGGGUAAAGAAGCACCGGCUAACUACGUG
rnacentral:rRNA from 1 species